rnacentral:misc_RNA from 1 species
UGUAACCACUAAAGAGUUGAAUAAGCUGGAGAUGAAAUUCUUGUUUGGAUUGGAUUUUCAACUUCAUGUAAAUGUCCCGACAUUCGGAAGCUAUUGUUCUCUCAUAGAGAAGGAAGGCACUGUAGGUCUCCAGAUCGAGCGCUCAAUUCAGGCAUGUAGAAUCAGUGAGAGCUGGUCAAACAAAGACGAUUCCAAAUGCGCACAGAUUGCAAGAUGAGGUUUUACAAUGGUGAAUAUAUAAUUGCAAAGUUGAUAUACUCCCUUCAGACAUGGAAGAAACUGAAAUGCUGGGUUUUGUACUAUAAUGUCUAGGUAGGAAAAAGUCAUAGCAGUGUGAUACACUCUUUUUUUUUUUUACAUAUUUUUGUCUUGUGCAGAUUUUCUUUACUGUACUAGUGUAGCUCCCAGGAACCCUGGUAUCAUUCUUUUUCAUGUUCUGCGAAGUUCCCCGCUGAUGUUGGUCCCUAUAGAAUGAGGGGCAUGCUUGUUUAGUGUUUACAAUCGAAGUUUCUUAGGAUUUCAGGUAUUAUUUUGAACAACCAAGUUUGAACCCACAAGG